rnacentral:lncRNA from 1 species
GACCUUCCGUUCAGAGCCUUACUGGAACCAAACAAGCAACUAGGUGACCUUCUGGACACCAGCUCUGAUGUCAGUUAUGUGUAAAGCCAGGCAGAUGGGUCCAGAUAGUCCUGGAGAUUUCCACCUACUGAAAUGUUUCCAUACUUAAUUUCUACUCAGAGAACCUGAAGUCACUUCUAACAGUAUCUCUCAAGACCGAUACAGUUGAGCUCCAUCUGCCCUUCUAACAUCGGCGGCCUGGCAACAGUGUCUUGCUAAGCUGGGAAACAUGGUAUGGUGAGAAGGUCUCUAACUUCGGUCAAGACUCAGUUCUGCCACUCUCCACAAUGACUCUGGGCAAGGUACUUAACAGCUCUGAUUUUUAUUAUUGGGUCUGGUAAAUGUGGGUUGUGGUCUCUGCUGUGUGGUACUGGGGAUACUAAGAUGAAGUGACGUAAUACAAAGAAAGAACAUGCCAUCCUUAGUCUACAGCAAAUGCUGCAAAAGCAAGGGGGCCUUUGACCAGCUCUUCAACACUCCCCCCACAUCCACUCACUUUCGCACACCCAUAUGGUCACACUGAGAUGCACAUGCUCAUACAAACAGAUCAUCGCUGCUCAACCUUCCUAAUGCUGUUACCCUUUAGUACAGUUCCAUGUGUUGUGGUGACCCCAACCAUAAAAUUAUUUCAUUGCUACUUCAUAACUAUAAUUUUGCUACCGUUAUGAAUCAUAAUGUAACUGUCUGAUAUGCAGGAUAUCUGAUAGGUAAGCCUAAAAGGGUCAUGACCCACAGGUUGAGAACUUCUGAGAUAAAGGAUGCUGAUAGAUAGACAUACACCAACGGAUGCUUUCACACAGAGGCAUGUGCACAUACUUCUCUAUUCUCUUACACACUUAUUUGCACACAUCCACUUUCCGUUCGGCUAAAAUAAGCAAGCUCUUCUCACAUCUUUCCUUUUCAUAAGCCAGUUUCCAGCAAGCAGGACAGAGCGCAGCUGCUCAAAGCAAGCAAUCCCAUCUGUCCACCCAACCAUUCAGCAAACUGAGGCUCUAAUGAAUGCCAAAUGCAAAAGUCAUCAAGGGACAGCAGGCAGUGUUCCCUGCCACUGGUUCCCAUUUGCCUGGUGAUGGGAGAGUCCAGCCUCACUCUGCUUCUAGGAACUCAGGGUAGCCCUGUGACCUCAGCUCUCUUUGGCCUCUGUAUAUUUUCAUUUCCCAACACUUGGCAACACCCUGAAACUCCAUCUGCACAUGCCUGUGUUUGGAUGAUGAGGGUAAGGAUAGUUCACACGGUGCUGUGUUCAAUGGCUAUGAGCUGCAAGCAGUCCAUCUUUGCUAGAGCCUUGAAGGUCAAAUUGACACCAGAAUCUCAAAUACACUCAGAAAUAAAUGCCUAUACAUUUGUCAGUUGAUGACCGGCUCUGCCGGACCAAAUGCCUUUUCAGCUAUAAUUCCACAGGUGCUUCAGAGCACUAUCCCAGCAUGGCCUUGUCCUGGACUGCAUGGGGUUCAUUCUUCAUCCUCAAUGGUCAGGAGCCACUUCCAACAGGUGCCCAGGGAGGACAAAGGAUCCAGGUAUGCUUGUCUAGUUCAGGUUUGAGGUUAUCAGUUAUUUCUUUGUAGCUUCAUAGCUUGAAAUCUAAAGAGAAGGCUUAGAUAGGUUUCUACUGUACCUGCUUGUAUUCUAAUGCCAAUUACGUUCCCCAAAAACAUGUUUGAAGGAGAACACACGUAGCUUCUGGGUACCUGCCCCCAGUUGAUGCUGAUUGGUAAGUAAAGAUGCCAACAGCUAAUAGCUGAGCAGGGCGGACAGAGGAGGGAUUUUAGGAUCCCCAAGCUUGGGGCCAGGAAAAGAAGAGGGAGAAGGAGAUCCGCCAAGGCCAGAGAGCAUGGAGGAGAGAAGAGACGUCAUGCCUGAGAAGAAUGCAGGACAAAGAAACAUGGCCACCAUGGGAAGGAGCCGGCAGAGCACAGUCCAGCAGGCUGCCCAACUUGGGUCCAGAGCAGUAAAAGGUAGAACACAGAAUUUAGGAAGUAGUGACGCAGAAUUAUCGGCAGGAGGUGCAUUCGAUCAGCUGUAGCAGUUAGGCAAAGGCCCAGCUAUUGUGCUGAUUAAGGCAUAUUAAAAUAUAAAGGCUGUGUGUGAAUGUCUUUCAUUUGGGAACAUAAACCAUUGGGUCAGGUAGCGAACCCACUGCUGGGAUUUAUUUAUUUAUUAAUAUGUAAUUCAACAUUCCACCACUCAUUAAAUACAUGACUUGUAAGAGGUGAACUUUGCUAAUACAAACAUCUUGGCUGGUGAUAGGUUUGUAUCUGCUAUACCCAGAAGAUAUGCAAAAGAUCAUAAGUCAAACAUGCAAUUCCCCUAACCCACUGAGUAUCUUGACUUAGGCCAGUCUAUCUUACAUGUGUUCAUAACAUAUGCAUUAUAUUUUGGUUGGGCAAAGCCAUCUAACAGAAGGCCUACUUUAUAAUGAAGGACCGAACAUAUCUCAUAUGCUUGACUGAAGGUGAAAAUCAGAAUGGUUAUAUGCUGUGCUUUCAUUCCAUUAUAAAACUGAGAUCAGUUAAGUUGAACCAUCAUAAGCCAGGAGCUGUAUGUGCUUAGCUUCAUCAUCCUCAAAACGUAAAUAUUAAUCCUCGUGGAAUUGAUAGGACAAGCCAAAGUACAUGGGAAGCACUUUUCCUAGCAAGAAUUAAAGACUAACGGCAGCUAUACUUCUCAUAGCGCCUUCUAGUAUCAACUCUACUACAAUCUUACAUAAAAAUAAUGAAUAUGUGUAUUAAAGGGACCUGAGGUGAAUCACAGGAAAGUAGAAGCUAUUGACUUAUUCAGAACUGUGGGAUUGGAUGCUUGGACUUUUAUUCCCACUGUAACCAUGUUUCUAAAACACAGAUCAGAAUUUAAAAAGGAGACUCAGGUGGUUCAUUUACUGAAACUCCGGGGAACAGAAUGUUUAAUUUACUGCUCUCCUAUUUAUUUGACUCACACACAGGCUUCACUUUUCCUGAUGGAGCAAAAGGAGUAUCAGGAGAUAAAUGGUGAUGCCAGACUGGAUCUCAGACAACACUGGAAGCAUCUCCAGGCUUUCCUAACACCAGAUUAAUCCAUAUGAAUGGAAAGGACAAUUCAUUUGUCCUUCCCUGUGACCCUCAUUCUGUCCCAGAUGGACCACGCUAAAGAGGAUGUAGAGUAUGAAGUCUGUCUGAAUAUGUGAAAGGACUGACACCAGGGUUGUUGUGAAGCUGUGGGGCCUUUGUUGAGCCAGAGAUACGGCUUGAAGGGAGAAAAUGAAACAUAGGUUGUGGCUCAGUUCUCAGCUAAGUACCCAGUACCCAGUUGAGUAGAGUAAGUGAGCUGCCUAUGCAAGUCAGCCAGAGGAAGACACAGAUGUCAGGGAAGAAGCAGGGCGUGGCUCCACCUAAAUGAGGAGGGGGAGCUCUAUGCCUGGCUGGGAGACCCUGUGGGUACUGGUGAUGACCAGCCCACACUCAGCCCUGAGCCAUAAAGACACAAAAGAAACCCCAAAGGAAGGAACGAACUGACUUGUCAAUCAUUCCCUACAGUUUUUAUUGAAGCAGGUCUGCCCAGCCUCUGCCUGCCUGCAGGAACUUAGAGACACACUAGCACUCUAUGGACGAGCAAAGACCAAAGUCAGGAGCAGAUCUUCAUCAAAUGGUGAGGAUUCCAUCUCAUCAGCCAGAGCAGUCAUCAACGAAGCCAAGGACAGCUCUCACAAGUUGUCCUUGAACCUCCACACACGGGCAUAUAUAUGACUAAAUUUAAUUUGUUAAAGCCAAAUUUUUUUAAAAAUUAAAAAAAAAACAAGCAAAAUUGUGGAGACUUUAUAAUUUAUGUUUAAUGCCAAGAAUGCCUCAUGCCAGAUAGUCGUCAGAACUUUCAUACAUUGCCACAGCUAAUGACCACCAUAAC